CCUUUUGUUCAUCUGUCAGGGGAAUUGUCCUUUAAUGGAUUUCCGUUGUCAAAACGCUUUCUAAUGUCGUUUCAAACUAAUUUCUAAAAACGGGACUAAUUUUAACAUAAAUACACAAUGGUGUGAGAAAAACACUAGUGAAGACAAAACUUGGACAGGAGUGUCCAAACAAAGAAUUUUACUAAACCAAAUUGGUAACAUGACUUCUUUUUGAAAAUGUUUACUGACAAUCUCUAAUAGUCCGUAAGGGUAUAUAAACGCCCAAUUGAAAAGGACUUAUCGUACGUCCUAUGUGUCAAGAGUUUCCCUAUUCUUCUUUAUUUUAAGUUACCAAAUGCCAAAAGACAUGAGUCAUUAUUUCAUUAGUUUGUUAAAUGUGUGGUGAUACCAGUCAAUCUGGGGUUAGGCAACAAGGAUGGAUAUCAUAUAGUAAUAAAAACAGUUCGCGUGCGAGAAACCCUUUUAUUAAAUGGAAUGCAUACAUGAAAACAUUCGAAAAAAUUACAAUAAAUAAAAAAUGGCGCGGUUUCCCAAUCGUGUAACAAUUUAUCAGUCAAGUCACUACUAAGGUUUUCAACAAGCAGCCAUUUUUGUUCUAAUCUAAUCCUGACCGAAGCUGUCGUUGGCUGCAUGCCAGAUUCCAGUUUAUUUUCAUACAUCCCUUUUAUGUGUUUUAUUUUAUUAAUUUAAACUCAGAGCUAUUUUAAUAAGUUACUAGUUUACUAGAAAAUCAAACUGACUUUGUGAUAUGAUGUUGCAUCAGCUUUUAGGCCGCUUUUCAAUCGAAAUAUUGGUCGAGCAAAUAGUUUUACGAUAAAUACUUUGUGUGCAUCGUGUUUUCGUCGUGCUUAAGGUUUAUUCGAGGCAAAAGCAAGAUAUAUACUUUUCUGUUCUUAUUAAAAUAUCAAGUUACUCAUCACAUAUCAUGUACCUACGAGCUAUAAAGACAUUUGAGCUGUUUAAAAUGUUUAUAAAAGAAUGUAAAUUAUAGUCAAUAUUCGAACAAAA